rnacentral:tRNA from 2 species
AGUCAUAAAGUUUUAGAUAAACAUAUAUUUUGAAAAUAUAAAAUGAAAGUUAAAUUCUUUCACUGACUU